GUAAAUUCUAAACCUAGGACUCAACAGUCGUUCCCUGUUUCCUCUAUCUUGAAACUCUGCCACCCUGAGGACAAGCCCAGGCUAGCCUGCUGGAGGGUGAUUGAUUAUAUAAAGGAAACUCAGUAUAGCAGAGCCGACAUCCUGAAGACUUCUGUGGGAGCAGAUGCCUAGCUGAAACACAGCUGACAAGAGAGUCAUGAAAAAGUCAAAAGGAUCACCUGCUAAGUCCAUUUUAAAAUCAUGAUCUACAGAAAGUAACCUUGUGCAUAGAGUUCUGAGAAGGCCAAGAAUCUGAGGACUCAAGUAAGCCAAAGCGUCCAACCAACUGCCUGAGUCUGGCCCAGAUCAUAGAGACAGGGUCUUGCUCCAUCACCCAGGCUGGAGUUCAGUGGCAUAUUCACAGCUCACUGCAGCUUUCACCUUCCAGGUUCAAGUUGUCUUCCCACCUCAGACUCCCAAGUAGCUGGGACCACAGGAGGAAAUCUCUUCACUGCUGGCACUGACAAUGGAAGACUGAGGGUGCCCGGGAUCCUUCACCCCCACAUCCAGUGAGUCCACGGAACCCAGGGUAACUGGGAUGGUAUCUGAUGAUAGCAAAUUGGAGUCAGUGUUAGCAAGACUCUCCCACUUGGAAAGACAAAAUAGUGUAUAGUCAUUCACACUGUGAACUCUAUUUCCAAGAAGAAAUGCAGAAACUUAACAGGAAAACGGAAAUCCACCAAUUCUCUGAAAGAAGCUGCAUGCUGCAGCCUACAUUGUAAGAAAAAAUCCAAAUCUGUUGUUCUCCUUGUCUUGGAGCUGACCCUUUCCAGCAGAUGAUAUCACCUCUAAGAGAUGGGAGUCUCACUGUUUUGCCCAAGCUGGUCUUGAAUUCCUGGCCUCAAGUGUUCCUCCCGCCUCAGACUCGCAAAGUGCUGGGAUUACAGGCAGAAGUCACUGCUCCAGGCCACAUUAUUUUUAUGAUUAUUAUGAUUAAUACUUUUAAAUAGUUGUACUUUGGGUUCUUGGGAACCCAGAGAAAUAACAUUCUUCACAAAGUUAGUUCAAAGGAUUUUUUAAAGCUUAGUGCUACCGUUCUAAAUGACUUUUUAAAAGAAAAGCAUUCAGUAUUUUAAGAAACAUAUAAAUUGAAUUUUGUGAUUAUCUGAAUCGGUGUUUUAGUUAGCAAUGUAAUGAGAGUAAAAGUAACUAAACAUUAAACUUUCUAAUAGAUUUCAGUUCAAUACUAAUACUACAGGGUUGAUGCUUGCAUUUCUUAGAAAGAGCAGGAAAAUAAAUAUAUAUGUAUAUUUAAUUAUAAACAGAAGGCAGAGUUAGUUUACAACAUUUAAAAAAAAUCUAGAUUGCAUACUUUAAUUUUCACCAUGCAAAAAGUUGGAACUUGUAACUUCCAAUGAGUCAAUCUUUGGCUAUUUUUCACAAUCCACAAGUCCAUGGUUUUUCUAUAAAAUAAGCACUAGUAAUAAAAAUCACAGGACACUAUUUAAUAUGUUUGGUUGUAUUAUAAUAUUGAGAAUAAUUGGAGGAUAAAAUACUUUCUUUUAAAACAUCACCUUUUCAGUGUCUGUUUCAAAAAUAUAGAAUAAAUUUAAUUUUUAAAAUUCUCUAAGUUUUCUAUAACAUCUUGAAAUCAUUUGUGAUACUGUGAUGCCACAAUACCAGAGUGCCCCAGACUAAAAUAAAACAAAACAAUCAAAUAUACAAACAUAAAAAUAAAACCAGCCAAGUACAUAUGGGUGAAUAUGGUAUUUUUAUAGCAUUAAUUUAUGGGGUAGUUAGACAUUUCUUUUCUUUUUGCCAUUCGUGGGGUGUGAGUGAAUUAUAGAUGAUAUAAGAAUGUUGGUAUAUUGAUAAUCAUUGAAUCUGGAUGAUGGUAUGUGGAGGUUCAUUAUGCAAUUCUGUCAACUUUUUCUACAUUUGAAAUUUUCCAUAAUGAAAGUUGAAAAAAAAAACAGAAACAAAACAAACAAAUGAAAAACACCAUGAAGUGAAAAGACAAGCCACAAGGUAGAUGAAUGUUUUUGCAAUAAGAAUCACUAAAACAAGAUUAGUAUGCACAGAAAGAUUCGUAUGUAGACUAUUUAAAGAACUGCCAUAAAUCAACAAGA
rnacentral:lncRNA from 1 species